rnacentral:rRNA from 1 species
GCUGGAAUUGCUAGUAAUGGCAGGUCAGCAUACUGCCGUGAAUACGUUCCCGGGCCCUUGUACACACCGCCCGUCACACCAUGAGAGUUGGAAAUACCCGAAGCCUGUGAGCUAACUUAAAGAGGCAGCAGUCGAAGGUAGAGCCAAUGAUUGGGGUGAAGUCGUAACAAGGUAGC